AUUGAACGCUGGCGGCAGGCCUAACACAUGCAAGUCGAACGAGUGGCGGACGGGUGAGUAAUGUCUGGGAAACUGCCUGAUGGAGGGGGAUAACUACUGGAAACGGUAGCUAAUACCGCAUACCAUCGGAUGUGCCCAGAUGGGAUUAGCUAGUAGGUGGGGUAAAGGCUCACCUAGGCGACGAUCCCUAGCUGGUCUGAGAGGAUGACCAGCCAAACGUGGAACGAGGUAAGGUCCAGACUCCUACGGGAGGGAGCAGUGGGGAAUAUUGCACAAUGGGCGCAAGCCUGAUUCCGCCAUGCCGGGUGGAUGAAGAAGGCCUUAGGGUUGUAAAGUACUUUCAGCGGGGAGGCGUUACCCGCAGAAGAAGCACCGGCUAACUCCGUGCCAGCAGCCGCGGUAAUAC
rnacentral:rRNA from 1 species